GCCAGCCUUGCACCAGGAGAGGGGGCCCUUCAGCCGGCUGGAGUCGGCAGGGAAGGAGAAAAUAGAGAAAAGGGGAAUAAAAUGCAGCAGAGGAGAAGCUGAGGGCGAAGUCGCGGAGUGAGGGAUGGAAGAUCUCCUGCCCUAUGGCUCUGCAGCUUUCCCGCAUCCCCGGCUGCUCGGCUGGAGCUGGGAGCUCCCGGGGAUUCCGGCAGCGCGGGCGGGAUGAGAAGGGUGGGCAGGGAAAUUCCUGCCUGGGAUGUACGAGACAGCGCGGGAUUCGCAGGCGGCGGCUGGGAGCAACAGAGGAAAGCCGGCGUGAGCAGCUCCCGGCUCACUCCAGCCUGGAGAAUUCCCCUUCCAGCUGGAAAAGCCCCGCAGGGAGCCGGGUUUGGCCGGUUCUGUCCCCGCAGGGCUCCGGGGGAUGCGGGAUGCUCUGCAGGGGGAUCGGUCUCCGACAGAUCCCACCCACCCCAGAUGUUCCUCCCGGCAAAAAAAUGUCCCGUCAGCGCUGGAACCGGCGCUCCCCGGUGCCACCGGCGCUGGCGGAGCUGUCACAGGUGCCACCGGUGCCACCGGAGGGCGGUCACGUCCCGGGUGCCGGCAGAAAGGGACAACAGCGCUUCGGUGAAUUAGGAUCCUGCUCCCCCAUCCCAGUUCUGCCCCUCGAGGGGGCCUCUCCCACCAGGACAGCCCCACACCCCCUCGGGUGUGGAGAGCAGCCUCAUCUCAGGGCUCUCCCGGGCAGCCCUCGCUCCCGGGACGGUUUUCAUUUUGUUAAUUUAAUUUUUUUAAUUGAAGGGGAGCGGGCUGGGGACACUGGCUCUCGGCAGGUGGCUUUUCACCUCCGGGGUAGGACCCCCUCCUCUGCCUGUGUCCCCCCCACCCUGACAGCACCUACCCUGCUGGGGUCCAGGGAGAUGAUUUUAGGGGUGCAGGAGUGGGGCAGACCGCUGGGAUCUCUUGUUAUGGGGACAUGAGAGCUUGUCCCUCUGUGUGACCCCACUUCUCACUGCUGGGCUGCCACCAGGGCUGGCCUUGGGGACACCCAGGGGACAGCCAGCCCUGGGGACACCCAGGGGACAGCCAUCCUGCCGCCAAGGCAGAGUUUG
rnacentral:lncRNA from 1 species